AGCAGCCGCGGUAAUUCCAGCUCCAAUAGCGUAUAUUAAAGUUGUUGCAGUUAAAAAGCUCGUAGUUGAACUUCGGGGUUUACUCAUUGGUCAGGCUUAAUUGUCUGUACUGGUGAGAUGAAUCUCUACCUUCUGAGGAACUUUCAUGUCAUUUAUUUGGUGUGAUUGGAAAUCAGGACUGUUACUUUGAAAAAUUAGAGUGUUUAAAGCAGGCUAACGUCUGAAUACAUUAGCAUGGAAUAAUGAAAUAGGACGGACUGAUUCUAUUUCGUUGGUUUCUAGGAUCACCGUAAUGAUUAAUAGGGAUAGUUGGGGGCAUUAGUAUUCAAUUGUCAGAGGUGAAAUUCUUGGAUUUAUUGAAGACUAACUACUGCGAAAGCAUUUGCCAAGGAUGUUUUCAUUAAUCAAGAACGAAAGUUAGGGGAUCGAAGACGAUCAGAUACCGUCGUAGUCUUAACCAUAAAC
rnacentral:rRNA from 1 species